rnacentral:rRNA from 1 species
CGUACACAAAAAUGCACAUACUGUGAGCUCGAUGAGUAGGGCGGGACACGUGGUAUCCUGUCUGAAUAUGGGGGGACCAUCCUCCAAGGCUAAAUACUCCUGACUGACCGAUAGUGAACCAGUACCGUGAGGGAAAGGCGAAAAGAACCCCGGCGAGGGGAGUGAAAAAGAACCUGAAACCGUGUACGUACAAGCAGUGGGAGCACGCUUCGGCGUGUGACUGCGUACCUUUUGUAUAAUGGGUCAGCGACUUAUAUUCUGUAGCAAGGUUAACCGAAUAGGGGAGCCGAAGGGAAACCGAGUCUUAACUGGGCGUUAAGUUGCAGGGUAUAGACCCGAAACCCGGUGAUCUAGCCAUGGGCAGGUUGAAGGUUGGGUAACACUAACUGGAGGACCGAACCGACUAAUGUUGAAAAAUUAGCGGAUGACUUGUGGCUGGGGGUGAAAGGCCAAUCAAACCGGGAGAUAGCUGGUUCUCCCCGAAAGCUAUUUAGGUAGCGCCUCGUGAAUUCAUCUCCGGGGGUAGAGCACUGUUUCGGCAAGGGGGUCAUCCCGACUUACCAACCCGAUGCAAACUGCGAAUACCGGAGAAUGUUAUCACGGGAGACACACGGCGGGUGCUAACGUCCGUCGUGAAGAGGGAAACAACCCAGACCGCCAGCUAAGGUCCCAAAGUCAUGGUUAAGUGGGAAACGAUGUGGGAAGGCCCAGACAGCCAGGAUGUUGGCUUAGAAGCAGCCAUCAUUUAAAGAAAGCGUAAUAGCUCACUGGUCGAGUCGGCCUGCGCGGAAGAUGUAACGGGGCUAAACCAUGCACCGAAGCUGCGGCAGCGACGCUGAUGCGUUGUUGGGUAGGGGAGCGUUCUGUAAGCCUGCGAAGGUGUGCUGUGAGGCAUGCUGGAGGUAUCAGAAGUGCGAAUGCUGACAUAAGUAACGAUAAAGCGGGUGAAAAGCCCGCUCGCCGGAAGACCAAGGGUUCCUGUCCAACGUUAAUCGGGGCAGGGUGAGUCGACCCCUAAGGCGAGGCCGAAAGGCGUAGUCGAUGGGAAACAGGUUAAUAUUCCUGUACUUGGUGUUACUGCGAAGGGGGGACGGAGAAGGCUAUGUUGGCCGGGCGACGGUUGUCCCGGUUUAAGCGUGUAGGCUGGUUUUCCAGGCAAAUCCGGAAAAUCAAGGCUGAGGCGUGAUGACGAGGCACUACGGUGCUGAAGCAACAAAUGCCCUGCUUCCAGGAAAAGCCUCUAAGCAUCAGGUAACAUCAAAUCGUACCCCAAACCGACACAGGUGGUCAGGUAGAGAAUACCAAGGCGCUUGAGAGAACUCGGGUGAAGGAACUAGGCAAAAUGGUGCCGUAACUUCGGGAGAAGGCACGCUGAUAUGUAGGUGAGGUCCCUCGCGGAUGGAGCUGAAAUCAGUCGAAGAUACCAGCUGGCUGCAACUGUUUAUUAAAAACACAGCACUGUGCAAACACGAAAGUGGACGUAUACGGUGUGACGCCUGCCCGGUGCCGGAAGGUUAAUUGAUGGGGUCAGCGCAAGCGAAGCUCUUGAUCGAAGCCCCGGUAAACGGCGGCCGUAACUAUAACGGUCCUAAGGUAGCGAAAUUCCUUGUCGGGUAAGUUCCGACCUGCACGAAUGGCGUAAUGAUGGCCAGGCUGUCUCCACCCGAGACUCAGUGAAAUUGAACUCGCUGUGAAGAUGCAGUGUACCCGCGGCAAGACGGAAAGACCCCGUGAACCUUUACUAUAGCUUGACACUGAACAUUGAGCCUUGAUGUGUAGGAUAGGUGGGAGGCUUUGAAGUGUGGACGCCAGUCUGCAUGGAGCCGACCUUGAAAUACCACCCUUUAAUGUUUGAUGUUCUAACGUUGACCCGUAAUCCGGGUUGCGGACAGUGUCUGGUGGGUAGUUUGACUGGGGCGGUCUCCUCCUAAAGAGUAACGGAGGAGCACGAAGGUUGGCUAAUCCUGGUCGGACAUCAGGAGGUUAGUGCAAUGGCAUAAGCCAGCUUGACUGCGAGCGUGACGGCGCGAGCAGGUGCGAAAGCAGGUCAUAGUGAUCCGGUGGUUCUGAAUGGAAGGGCCAUCGCUCAACGGAUAAAAGGUACUCCGGGGAUAACAGGCUGAUACCGCCCAAGAGUUCAUAUCGACGGCGGUGUUUGGCACCUCGAUGUCGGCUCAUCACAUCCUGGGGCUGAAGUAGGUCCCAAGGGUAUGGCUGUUCGCCAUUUAAAGUGGUACGCGAGCUGGGUUUAGAACGUCGUGAGACAGUUCGGUCCCUAUCUGCCGUGGGCGCUGGAGAACUGAGGGGGGCUGCUCCUAGUACGAGAGGACCGGAGUGGACGCAUCACUGGUGUUCGGGUUGUCAUGCCAAUGGCACUGCCCGGUAGCUAAAUGCGGAAGAGAUAAGUGCUGAAAGCAUCUAAGCACGAAACUUGCCCCGAGAUGAGUUCUCCCUGACUCCUUGAGAGUCCUGAAGGAACGUUGAAGACGACGACGUUGAUAGGCCGGGUGUGUAAGCGCAGCGAUGCGUUGAGCUAACCGGUACUAAUGAACCGUGAGGCUUAACCUU